CGCCUCCAACAUUCUAAUUUACUUCCGAUCGGGUUGAUGACUUCCGGAGCGAGUUCUGCUAUUGUUUUUAUCAUUAGCUUACUAGCUAUCAUCGAUGCAUUUCUGACUGAAAUAGUUCGCAAUGACUACGUUUAAAUUACAGCCCCGCGAAGGAGGUGCUAAUGAACAUUGUUCAGUGCCUCUGUGUUCAGUKUCUUCCAAAUCCAUCGUUUCCCGGUCGAUGUAGAGGCUCAAAAAAAGGUGGUUGGUGGCAGUACGUCGUGACAACUUUGCUGUCACCAAACACACAAAGGUGUGUAGUACACAUUUCGUCAAAAGUGACUUUGUUGAGCGACAAUACCUAAAAAGAGGUGUUGUUCCUACUGUCUUCGCGUGGAACUGGCACAUUAAAAAGAGACCUGGUGUUUGGGAAAGAAGACUGAAACCUCCUGCUCCGACUGAGGGGGAUGAAGAACAAGGUGCGCUGCCUAUGGACUGUGCCGUCUCUGAUCCGGUCCAGAGCAUGGGCCAAGCCGGUGUAAAUAAGUUAACAUUCUUCAGUGUGCAGUACUCCUGUACAGCCACUGGCUCCAUGGCUAGACCCCUCUUCAUCUCCAUGGUCUGCAUACCAGAUCCCUUGCCAUUCCGGGCUGCUGCUCUGCUCCCUUGUAGCAACCUCGACUUUGUGUGACAUCUCGUAGGUUGUCUCUAAUGCCUUGAGGUGGAACUGCUCCUGAUGGCUAAGGACGUAAGCACACUAGGAAGCCUGAAGCCUGUAGCCAUCUAAUGGAAGUAUUGGUGGAGAAGUGGCAUUGGCAAUCUUCACAAUUUCACGGGUCUUUGGCUGUGGAAGCUGAUAGGACAGAACACUGCCGGCUUGCACUGGCCCAAAGGCGGACUCAACCAGGGGCACGUCAGCUGACAUUUCCAUUGUUGUCACAAGAGGGGCAGUAAGUGGAGAAAAGUUGGCAUACGUUUCUGAUACGGAGAGAAGGUCCAUGUCAGACAUGUAUCCAUUGAGUGCUUUGUAGAGAGAACUUCUGCAAAACAUUUAAAAACCUUAACAUCAGGUUGGAGAGAUUACUAUGACAAAGACUCAUGUAACUUUUCCAGAAACAGCACAAGCCCGAAAGUUCAAAUAAAAUGAAUUAAAAUAUACAGAUUUAUAGAUGAUAUAUUUACCCCCAGUCUUUGUCCCAAACAUUUGUCAUUAUCAUCUGGAUACAAUCACAAGAAAAUGUUUUCUAAAAUGUUUCCAUUCUAGGAAUCUCCAACUUACCUUAUUCCAUCAGCACACAAGUUAGUAGGUUUACAGAACUCUAUCCCAUCAACCGGACCUGGCUUCACACCCUAAUUAACAAGGAUUUACUGUUACAUAGGCUGAAUACUUUUCAGGUGCAUUUUUUAAUAGAUAUUGAUAGACUCACAAGUGUUCUUGGCUUGUGCCAACGCUGUCUUGUGCCAACGAGUCUGUGCAGCUGUGAACUGGUGGUGCAGCAGGAAUGUUUAGUUGAGAGUAGUGCGCUGUCUGGUUAAGAAGGGCCACCAGAUGAUUGCACAGAGCACUUCCUGCAACACAGGAGCAGUGGCUUUGGACCACUAUCACUGGUACRGAGUGCUUUAACACCAUC